GGUUCCCGCUCGCGCCUCUCCCUCCACACCUCCCUGCAAGCUGAGGGAGUGGACUCUGGCCUUGGCCAGCCCAGAAAGGGGCUCCCACAGUGCAGCCGUGGGCUGAAGGGCUCCUCAAGUGCCGCCAAAGUGGGAGCCCAGGCAGAGGAGUCGCCGAGAGCGAGCGCGGGCUGUGAGGACUGCCAGCACGCUGUCACCUCUCAAUAACGCCCAUCCCAACGUUUCCUGAGGAAUAAUUUUGGUCGUGUUCCUGCUACUCAGCUUUUCGUGGUUCCUGCUCAUUUUCAGAGUCUAACAUUCCAGCUUUUCCGGAAAUUCUAUACUUUGAUGUAAAAGUUUUCAAAGAAAUGCUUUGGGCAGAAGAGACUCAUGGAAACUGGACACUAUAUCUGGAGCCAGGAAUAAUAGGAUCCGAGAAACAGUAACAAGUAUAAAACAAAGUGGUCUUGAACUCCUGGCCUCAAGUAAUCCUCCCCACUGGGCUUCCCAAAGUGCUGGGACUACAGAGGUGAGCCAAUACAUCAAGCCCAAUUGUUGUUUCAGUUAUGCUUGCUACACUUGCAAAGCCAAGCAAAUGUUACAAAUGUGCAAGAAAUUAGAGGUAUGGUAAGAUGUUGCUUAAUCACUAUUGGGUAAUUGUUGGACAGCUUUCAGAAUCUCUACAUUCCCCAAACCGGUUUCAGAUGAAAUUUUAGACCAGACUGCUAUGCAAUUUUACAUAGUAAUUAGUAUAAUAAUCUCUAAGCAGGGCAUUCUCCAAUUUUUACCCUCC
rnacentral:lncRNA from 10 species